AUGUAUUGCUUCCAUACCUAUAAUGGUCCUAUGAAAGGCUUUACUCGGUGCUUCCGCGCUUGUUAAGGAUAAUUCCUCUCGACGAGUGGCGGUUCAACGUGUGAUGCUUAUGUCAUAGUGAACCUGAUGGCGUGUGAGUGGUGUUUGGGUCGUGCGGGUUGGUAGGCUCCUUGCUUGUGCAACGAACUAUCGCCGCACACCCCUCUUCAAUCUUAAGCUUCAAGCGCUUGAACAAGCCUUGGGCAUAGCAAUAUCGCGGUUCCUGUGUUGCCUACCUAAAGAAUGGAAUUGUCCCUCGAAGGUUGCCUCUCUCCACCUAGCGCGGCUCCUGCAGUGCAGGUGGACCUCAAAAGCGAUCAUUGUGUUCCACGCUCUCCCCCAUGCAUGCACAUGCACAGAGGGGUUGGGCAUGGCCCAUGACGGUCGCUCGAUCUCUAGGAUGCGGAAACUUAAAAUGGGCGUGGGGUUUUAGGAUCCCAAUAAUUCGCUCAAGCUAAGCGUUCGUCGCUAGACGCGUACGACGGCUGUGAUCGUUUUUGCCCUCCCGUUCACCCCUCGGGGCCUCGGUUAGGAGCAUGCGGUACCAGCGUCGCACAUGAAUGC
rnacentral:misc_RNA from 1 species